UUAAUUCGAUAAGUUGAAUUAAGGUGUAGUUUGAGUUUCGCGGACGAAACUCUUUUUGAGUGGUGGAGAGUGCAAUAUACUGAACUUCUGCAAUUAUGAAGUUUUGGCGGGAAUUAGCAUAAGAAGCUAAUUAAAUAAGUUUUGGCGAAGUUUGGAGAGCAAUUGAGUGUUUUCGGCGCAAACUAGACGCGAAACUGGG
rnacentral:lncRNA from 1 species